rnacentral:rRNA from 1 species
GAUGAACGCUGGCGGCGUGCUUAACACAUGCAAGUCGAACGGAAAGGCUCCUGCUUGCAGGGGUACUCGAGUGGCGAACGGGUGAGUAACACGUGGGUGAUCUGCCCUGCACUUCGGGAUAAGCCUGGGAAACUGGGUCUAAUACCGGAUAGGACGAUGGUUUGGAUGCCAUUGUGGAAAGUUUUUUCGGUGUGGGAUGAGCUCGCGGCCUAUCAGCUUGUUGGUGGGGUAAUGGCCUACCAAGGCGUCGACGGGUAGCCGGCCUGAGAGGGUGUACGGCCACAUUGGGACUGAGAUACGGCCCAGACUCCUACGGGAGGCAGCAGUGGGGAAUAUUGCACAAUGGGCGCAAGCCUGAUGCUGCGACGCCGCGUGGGGGAUGACGGCCUUCGGGUUGUAAACUCCUUUCGCUAGGGACGAAGCGCAAGUGACGGUACCUGGAGAAGAAGCACCGGCUAACUACGUG